GAAAAUACUAAUUCAUGUUGGAUUUCCCUGCCUGGCAAAAACGACACCUGUACAGAGCUCAAUCCUUACUUCGGCCCAUGAGACUUUGCCAUGACAGACGAUGGCAGUUCAGAAAGCUUAGUGGAAAGCACCACGGCCCCAUGCCUGCUGGGGGCUUGCUGCGUAGCUAACACAGAGGCCUCUCUGCAGACCCUCUCCAAGGACAUACUGGGGGCAAGAGCACGUUCUCUUGGAAGCCACGGUCACCGUUCACUGGCUCCCUCCCGGUUCCUAUUGGGUGCCAGGCCCUGAGGAGGCAAGGUGUGGAUGGUGAAGGAAGCCUGAGACCCCUGGGAGGGAGGCCUGGCUCUGUGGUGGAGGAAGGCAGCCAAUUACAUCACUAGCCAAAGGGCCUAUUGAUCUGGUGCAGUGGGGUUAGUAUUGAGUGGGAAACAGCCAACUUCCUGCAAUUCAGGGGAAGCCUCAGGAGAGCAGAGACCAUCUAUGCUUUAUUUUGUAAUUAAGGGGAAAAGAGUCUACCCUAAAAUGUUGCUUAAGGGUCCUGGCUUUUAAAUUUAUGUCAAUAGUAGUUUAUGAUCAAGGCACUUCCUGUGAAGAUGUCAGUUCUGAUAUAGG
rnacentral:lncRNA from 12 species